AAAAAAAUAUAAAAAAGAAACGAUAGAGGAGAGAGAGAGUGAAGUCAAAAAGCAAAGGGAGAGAGUCAGAAAAGAGAGAGACGAAAGGGAGGAGGAAAGGAAGAAGAACAGCAAUGAUGGAGACAGAGAAGACGAAAACGAAGAGGAGGAGGAGGAGAAGAGAAGAAGAAGAAGAAGAAUACCUCAGCUUCAGCUUCUUGGAUUGAUCUGAAUAGGGAUGUGAAGCCGGGUGGGAAAGUACUGGAGGAAGUGAUUACGUAGAAUUUGCAAUAGACAUGUGGAGAUCUUGAUACUCUAGAGGAGAGACCUGCGAGGUGCUCUAAUGUGGAGAUAUUAAUGGUUCUUUUUGUUGGUAGUCAUGCAGUAAAAUAGUGCUUUUGAGAUGAAUUUAUUUUGGUGUUGUGUAAGCUUGCAAGACUUGAUGAAUGCAUGAAGUGACACUAUUUAAGUUAUGCAGUUUGGGAAUGAAUUGGAGAAGUUAGCUAUAUUUAUUUUGGU